rnacentral:rRNA from 1 species
AUUGAACGCUGGCGGCAUGCCUUACACAUGCAAGUCGAACGGUAACGCGGGGCAACCUGGCGACGAGUGGCGAACGGGUGAGUAAUGCAUCGGAACGUGCCCAUUAGUGGGGGAUAGCCCGGCGAAAGCCGGAUUAAUACCGCAUACGACCUACGGGUGAAAGCAGGGGAUCGCAAGACCUUGCGCUAUUGGAGCGGCCGAUGUCAGAUUAGGUUGUUGGUGGGGUAAAAGCCACCAAGCCGACGAUCUGUAGCUGGUCUGAGAGGACGACCAGCCACACUGGGACUGAGACACGGCCCAGACUCCUACGGGAGGCAGCAGUGGGGAAUUUUGGACAAUGGGCGCAAGCCUGAUCCAGCCAUGCCGCGUGCGGGAAGAAGGCC